rnacentral:piRNA from 1 species
UNCAAUGUAUUGUGGUGCAAUUGGUUAGCCUG